rnacentral:piRNA from 1 species
UAUUGAAUGUGCCUUAAUUCGAAGUGUGA